CACGGAGACCAGCAAAUAAGUGCCGAGGCUAAUGGUUCGGAAACUGGGUAUGGACCUGGUAACCGUUGUCGGUGCUGUUUCAGAUCAUGCAAUGGCCAUCGGGGAAAUCAUAAUGGUAGGGACCAUCUAAGUAACAGCGGUGAAGCUUAUAAUGAAGCAAGUGAGAGAGGCACCAGAGGAACCAUGAAAGGUCAAUUGGUAAUGAACAGACUGGGUGCAAUGGUCUUGCUGGAAAUGCAACAGUUACUGAUGAUGGUGAUGGUUGAGGGGAAAUAAGAUACAGGCGCCAUCGAGGACUCAAUCGUAUGAAUCGCAUAUGUGAAUGGAGGCCAAGAAAUUACAAUUAUGCUGAAAGCAAAUGACACUUAAAAGAGUAUGAAGAUUCUAUCAAGAGGAAGUCGCCAUCUUCAGAAAAGGGUGUGGAGAGAAAAGUUGACCACAAGCAUUUUGAAUCAAUGCAGAUUAUUGGGAAAAAGAGAGAGGAGCAUGUGUUAAUCAAAGAAGUUAGUGAAGGAGUUGACAAUUAACUCAGGAUAUGCACCAUGUUUUGUCUUAUGAAACUGAACUCCUAUAUUCUGUUCGUGAUUUACUUUCAGAAACUGGACAUGCUUAAGAGGAAAAAUAGCCUUGAGAGGAGAAAUUUCGCAAGUCAAUGAACAGCAACGAGUUCUUCAGACCUGGCUCGGAAAGAGGGAGAGGUCUUACAGGAGCAGUAGGAGCACUGAUGAGAGACUCUGUAAACUGUACUGGUGGUAAAGGCAAUAGAUAUAGACUUAACAAACGCCAUGACUGCUGUCAAGCUGGUGAUGCUCUCAAGUUUGAGGAUCCCAGCAAGUUUCCUGUUUGUAUGCAGUCUAAUACCACUGAAAACGUU